rnacentral:misc_RNA from 1 species
AUAAAUACUAUUGAAGGGAUAUAUACUCUCUUUCCUAAAUUCUCUAGGAAAGAGAGUAUAUAUCAGAAUGAGAAGUUCU